rnacentral:rRNA from 1 species
UAGGGAAUCUUCCACAAUGGGCGAAAGGCCUGAUGGAGCAACGCCGCGUGUGUGAUGAAGGCUUUCGGGUCGUAAAGCACUGUUGUAUGGGAAGAACAGCUAGAAUAGGAAAUGAUUUUAGUUGACGGUACCAUACCAGAAAGGGACGGCUAAAUACGUGCCAG